rnacentral:sRNA from 1 species
AAUUGCGAACCGUGUCUCGGGAGCGUUAGAGAUGGAGACUAACGUCUUCCAAGGGAGAUUGCGUCUUCACUUUCACCCUGGUACUGAGAGGCACAAAAUUGGAACGCAGUCGCGGGGUAUAUCCCCCUGAAAACCGUACGUUGCCAAAUAAUGAUUUCUUUGGAUUAGAGAACUACAACUCCCCUGGGUCCUGAGCCGGUAUUUCCCUCUUGCGGCUGCACCGUAGUUAAAAACAAAGCUACGUGUUCUGGGACGUAUAGUUCUAGCGUUCCUUGGGUCCCGCUGGCGAGCGUGGGCUUUCUGCAGCUGGCAACCGGCCUCGUGCUUUGCGGACGGUUCACUGCGCUUGGAAAGGGAUUGGCCUGGGGUACAUCAUCUAAAGAUCCUAGGAUUGCUGCAGGUCAGCAGUCUCCACUGGAAAAAAAGAUCUUGCAUGUAUUUCAAGUCCUCUGAUGAAUUAUGUGAUCUACUAGACCCUGAAGAUACAGUGAAGAGCAAAAGAACACGGAUGAAAUGAGAAACAAAAAUGAUGGAGAAAACCAAAAAAGGGGACACAUGGGAUCCAGGCAAUAGGAGAGCCAGCAUAAGAGAGAGGCAGAGGGAUGCCCAGGAUGAGGUGAAGACAAUCUUGGAAAUCAGCCCAGAUGUGCAUGCACCAGUCCACGUGUGGCAGGACCAAGGGAAGUGUCUUCACAAAGAUGAGGGGUACACUCCUUUGGAAACCAGAACCUCGUAUCCUGCACAGCCCAGUGUUGGGAGAUAAAAUAUGCGAAAUACCCCAUUGAGUGAAUCUAAGAGAUUGGACAUGGAGCCAAACCUGCUUCCGCCUUUUGAUUUCUGGACACACAUGUUCUUCCUAUUGAUAACACAGAACUCUAGAGACGUCUCUGAUUCAAACAAUGCGCUGUGUCCUGAAAGACGGCACCCACCCCUCAGAGUGCUUCCUCCAGGCUGGCACUGAGUUGUGCCUGUAGAAGACCUGUCCAGCCUUCCUUGUGGCUGGCAGCUCCUGGGUAGUGCAGAUGGUGAUAGGAUUAGUGGAACCCACAGCCGUGGAAACACUGAAACUUUCCCUGCAAAGUGGGUCCUUCAGGCAGAUAAUGGGCUAGGAGCACUGCCUAGCCUGCAGACCAGGAAUGUCAACAGCACCCAGAGAGUGGUGCUGGCUGUGUCUGAGAGCAGGACAGGAAAACCCACCCAUAGAAUCGGUACCUAACCCUGUGAAGAUGAAACUCUGGCCCUUCCAGGUUGGAAGUAGCUAAAUGUAGUCAACUUGUUACUUAGUGGGUAGUCAUGUAAAGAAAUAGUGCCCCACUAGGGCACAUCAUGGGCCUCAAUUGCUGAUGAGUUGGACAUUCAGAGGUGGCAGCAGCUGGAUCUGCCUUGGUGUGGGGAAGUCAGUGCUGCUGGCCCCUUACGGAGCCUCAUGCCUGCCACUGUGGUUGCUCCAUUCAUGCACUCAUCCUACCAGGCCUGGGCUGACCCAUGGUGAAGGCUGGCUAACUGCCAUUUGUCUGUUUGGUAGUUCAGUGCCACUUCAGACUUGGUGUUUUCUGUGGGUGUCAGCAAGGGAUUCAAGCUCAACCCAGGUGGACUGUUUUCACCUGAUGAUGAAUGCUGUUGGGCCUGUACCAUCUAUGACUUUGUGGGUCACACAGGCACUUGGAACCCCGUAGUUGCUUGGUAUCCCGUGGUCAAGCAUUCUAUUGAAUCAGGACAAGGAACACUAAAAGUUGCUUCUAACAGGGGGCAUGUGUCUCUACUGUGGAUGACAUGAUCUUACUCCAGAAUCCCAGGCCCUCCACUGUGACUCUCCCACUGGUGCUUGGUUCAGCUCCAUCCUGUGUCUUUCCCCACCACUGGCACCACCAGCCCCAGGGGGUCUGAGGGAUGGUGGCUGCUUGUACCAUGGCCUGGAUCUGCUGCAGGGUCCUUUCCUGUGUAGGCCCCACUUGAAGCUGGCAUCCUCCUAUGUCACCUAGACUGUGGGCCAAAGCAAAAUGUCUAGAUGUGGAAUGUGGUGUUGUUAUAAUUCAAAGAGGCUCACCAAGCAGUGUGCUUCCUUGCUUCUGGUGAGGGUGCAAGAUGCAACAGUUUUUCUUUUACCUUGGAGGGGACACACCUGCAUUUCCCUAAACACUUGGCACUUGUUCACCCAUAAAACUUCACUUCAGUGCCCACCUUUGAAACUGUAUAAGGUUUAUCUUCACCUUGUGGGGUGCGUGUGUUUUGCAAAGGGCUACAGUGCACUUUCUUCCUGCUGCUCAUCUACUCCAGUCAACAUGAAGUUGUCAAUGAAAUGUGCUGAUUUAAUAUCCUAAAGGAUAUGCAGUAUGUCCAGUACAGUCUUAAGCCUAUACUAUAGAGGGCACAGGUGUUACAAUAGCCCUGAGGCAAACAAUAAAUAAAUGUGUCGUUGAUUCCA